GGUUCGCUAUGAAUCAAGAGACCGAGCAACAAGACAAAAUGGCUCCCUCUAUUGAUCCAUCUCGAAUUCAACCCGUAGAGACUCGUCCAUCCAUAGGUUCAAUCAAAUACUUAGAAAAUGUCCCAAUAAUCGACCUAGCUCCACUUCAAUUGCCCCAUAAUUCCUCCACGGAUGAGGCCAAGGCUAGCAUUGCAAAGCAAGUGCACAAUGCCUUCAAAGAGUGGGGCUUCUUUGUAGCAAUUAACCAUGGUGUGUCGCCUGAUCUCUGGUCUAAUCUGAAGAUGGCUAUGGCUGGUUUCUCAGCUUUGCCAUAUGAGGAGAAGAAGAAGGCGGCUAGAUAUGUAAAGAACCCUUGGGGUUUUUCCAUGAUGAAGACUUCACCAAGAAUAUCACAGAUUGGUGUGAAGUUUUUGACUAUAUGGCAGAAAGAGACGAGCUCGAGGUACCGGAGAACCCGGAUGCAGAUUGCAAGGAGACCAGGAUUAUAAAAAGCAUGUGGCCAGAAAAGCCAGAGGAUUACAAGAAAAUAUGCCACGACUUCGCCCAAGGGUGCUUAAAGUUGAUGUCUCAAUUGAUGGAAGUCAUUUCUCUCAGCUUGGGUUUCCCAUCUCAUUGAUUGCACCCUUUUUUGGAAGAGAGCUUAAGCUAUGUUCGCACUAAUCACUACUCAUCGUGCAAUAACCCAGACUUGGUUUUAGGCAAAGGAGCUCACAGAGAUCCAAGUGCAUUCACCCUUUUAACCACUGAUGAGGUCGUUGGAUUGGAGGCUCAACGAAAAUCGGACGGUCAGUGGCUAAGGCUCAGGCCCAUACCCAACUCUUGCAUUAUUGUUGCCGGUGACGUGCUUCAGGUAUUGAGCAACGACCUUUAUGAUAGCUUAGUCCACUGAGUUGUGGUGAACUCUCAAGUCGAGAGGUUCUCAGCCAUCCUUGGGGUUGUGCCUUCCUAGAAUGCCAUUGUGAAACCAUUAGAUGAGCUGGUUGAUGAAGACAAAAAUCCUGCACAUUAUGGUGAAUACAA